rfam:Triticum aestivum genome assembly, contig: Triticum_aestivum_CS42_TGACv1_scaffold_130555_2BL
AUAAUACUUCCUCCGUCCAAAAAAACUUGUCCCAAGCUUGUCUUUUAAAUGGAUGUAUCUAGCACUAACUUAGUGCUAGAUACAUCCAUUCCAGGGACAAGCUUUUUCGGAUGGAGGGAGUAACAA